GACGAACGCUGGCGGUGUGCUUAACACAUGCAAGUCGAACGGUAAGGCCCUUUCGGGGGUACACGAGUGGCGCACGGGUGAGUAACACGUGAGUAACCUGCCCUCAUCUCUGGGAUAACAGUCGGAAACGGUUGCUAAUACUGGAUAUGAGCUUGCAAGGCAUCUUGUGGGUUGGAAAGAUUUUUUUUGGUUGGGGAUGGACUCGCGGCCUAUCAGCUUGUUGGUGAGGUAGUGGCUCACCAAGGCUUCGACGGGUAGCCGGCCUGAGAGGGCGACCGGCCACAUUGGGACUGAGAUACGGCCCAAACUCCUGCGGGAGGCAGCAGUGGGGAAUAUUGCACAAUGGACGGAAGUCUGAUGCAGCAACGCCGCGUGCGGGAUGACGGCCUUCGGGUUGUAAACCGCUUUCAAUUGUGACGAAGCGUUUUUGUGACGGUAGCAGUAGAAGAAGCACCGGCUAACUACGUG
rnacentral:rRNA from 1 species